GACGAACGCUGGCGGCGUGCUUAACACAUGCAAGUCGAACGGAAAGGCCCUGCUUUUGUGGGGUGCUCGAGUGGCGAACGGGUGAGUAACACGUGAGUAACCUGCCCUUGACUUUGGGAUAACUUCAGGAAACUGGGGCUAAUACCGGAUAGGAGCUCCUGCUGCAUGGUGGGGGUUGGAAAGUUUCGGCGGUUGGGGAUGGACUCGCGGCUUAUCAGCUAGUUGGUGGGGUAGUGGAUUACCAAGGCUUUGACGGGUAGGCGGCCUGAGAGGGUGACCGGCCACAUAGGGACAGAGAUGCGGCCCAGACGCCUACGGGAGGAAGCAGUGGGGAAUAUUGCACAAUGGGCGGAAGCCUGAUGCAGCAACGCCGCGUGCGGGAUGACGGCCUUCGGGUUGUAAACCGCUUUCGCCUGUGACGAAGCGUGAGUGACGGUAAUGGGUAAAGAAGCACCGGCUAACUACGUG
rnacentral:rRNA from 1 species